rnacentral:lncRNA from 1 species
CCGCCCUGGCCGCGCCCGCCCCGUCCCAUCUCGUUCCAGCGGGGCGCCGCGGUUCCUGGGUCAGCGGCCGCCGGGGCCGGGCUGAGAGCGCAGCCCCGGCCGCUGGGCGCACCCGUCCCGUUCGUCCCCGGACGUUGCUCUCUACCCCGGGAACGUCGAGACUGGAGCGCCCGAACUGAGCCACCUUCGCGGACCCCGAGAGCGGCGGCGCGACUCACCGCGGAGGCGCCCGGACGCGUCAAUGUCCCCCAGGGCAAGGCCUGAACCAGGUCGCGAGGGUCUGUCUCCCGUCUGGGGAGCUGAACUGCCCGAGACACUGUCGCAGUCGCGGGGACUUGUCUGGAGCGGCGGGGUCUGAGCCCAAGUCGGAAGCCGCCGCCGCCGCCAGCGUCCCGUGCGCCUGCCGCCCCGGGACCAGCCGCGAAACUUCUUCUCGGGACGGAGACAGCGCUCGCCGCCCGGGCCGAGGCCCAGCCCAAUAGGAAGCACCUGAUCCACACUCUUUCUAGCCCCAGGGAUGCUCAGGAAAGCAGCCUUUCUUUAGGGCUGUCAUCUGUUCUGGGGAUCUGUUGCUGUUUCUUGGGCCCACAGAAUACACUCCACACCUCGGGACUCCAUAAUAUUGGACAAGGCUGGAAGGCCCAUUUGGCUCCUGCAGCCUCUUAUGCAGGAGGACCUCCUGAGGCUUCGGGCAGGAGCUGGUGCACACCUGGAGGAGAGUGCUGGUGAAUGGCAGGUGUGUGCCUCAGUGUCCUUGCUGCCAGGGUGUCAGCCCUGCUUCACCACUGGCCGUUUGUCUCUGUCCCCUCCACUGGCCUCUUGAAGCACAGAGACCCUCCGGGUACUUUCCUUCCUCUGGGCUUCCACUCAUGCUAUUCCCUGCUCCCUUUUUCUACCUGGAGACCCCCAUUCCUCCUCCUCCUCUGCUGCCCUCACCUCCACCUGGGCCCUCCCAGCUCCCGGGAGAUGGCUGAACCCCACUCCCCACCCGCUAGUCAUCCUCUUCAGCGGUCCUCCCAGAGCUGUCCUCAGCAUGGCAGCCUCCACAGCCCCUGGGUGUCACCCCCGGUUUCGUGUCUGCCUCGGACUCCAGACCUGCCCCUCCCAGGCUGGCCCAGAUGGAUCCUCUACAGUGACUAACCCAAACCAGCACCAGGCAGGGACCCAAUAAACCUUUGUGAAUGGAGUAAAUGAGUGCGGUGUGUACUUACUGAAAACUCCUUGUUUGGGGAGAAACUCAGGGUAUUUCACUCUGUCCUUUUGCGCACCUGCAGCAGUGAGCUGGGGCGGCAUGUUGGCAGCCAGGGCUGAGCACGGUGGGUCAGGACCUGCCGCUGUGAGCAGACAACACUUCCUGGGAAGUCCCCUUGGGGCGUGGUGUCUGGUGAAUGCACCCAUCACCUGGUCACUGGGCCAAUCCGUUUCCCUUUCUGGGCUAAACAGGUCUUCCCACGGGUACCUGGGCCCUCCCACGGAGGUAUUUACCCUUCUCAUUUACUUUAAGAAUGAAUUCUUCUAUCCAAACACUUGGCUAGGUUGAUCAUGGGGACACCCUGCAGGGGAUGGGGUGGGAGAUGGCUGAGGGACCCAGAGCUCUGGUCUGAGCGGUGUCCUCAACAUGGCAGACCUCCAUCCCUCUGGGAGUUUGAGGCAGGCACAGGGGAGGUGGCGGGACUCUGGGGUGACUGGGCAGGCUGGGAUCCCAGCCAGGACAGCUUGUCAGGGCCCCAGGGCCUGGAUCUAGCAGAGGUGUUUGGCAGCAUUUGGGGGUUGGAGAAGGUCUGGGGCUCCCGGCCAAGGAGAGGAGAAGGCCUAGGAGGCAGUGCCCUGGCUACUUGCUGUGUGACCCUGUGCAUCUCUGGC